GAGUUUGAUCCUGGCUCAGGAUGAACGCUGGCGGCGUGCUUAACACAUGCAAGUCGAACGAAACACCUUAUUUGAUUUUCUUUGGAACUGAAGAUUUGGUGAUUGAGUGGCGGACGGGUGAGUAACGCGUGGGUAACCUGCCCUGUACAGGGGGAUAACAGUCAGAAAUGACUGCUAAUACCGCAUAAGACCACAGCACCGCAUGGUGCAGGGGUAAAAACUCCGGUGGUACAGGAUGGACCCGCGUCUGAUUAGCUGGUUGGUGAGGUAACGGCUCACCAAGGCGACGAUCAGUAGCCGGCUUGAGAGAGUGAACGGCCACAUUGGGACUGAGACACGGCCCAAACUCCUACGGGAGGCAGCAGUGGGGAAUAUUGCACAAUGGGGGAAACCCUGAUGCAGCGACGCCGCGUGAAGGAAGAAGUAUCUCGGUAUGUAAACUUCUAUCAGCAGGGAAGAAAAUGACGGUACCUGACUAAGAAGCCCCGGCUAACUACGUGCCAGCCGCCGCGGUAAUUC
rnacentral:rRNA from 1 species